UUUUUUAUUUUUAGCUACAAUUUUUUCUUUAUUACAGGAUCUUAAAUCAUUAUAUACCAAAAAGAAAGAAAAAUAAUGUAAUUUUUUUUCUCUUCAAAUCUCAUCAUUCUUAGUACUAUUAUCCUGACCUAAUUUCUUCACGUUUAGAGAGAGAUUGAUCUGAGUAUUAUUUGUAGUUACUAUUUUCUAGGGUUUCGCAUCUGAACCAAAUCUAACUUAUUAGACAGACAGAGAGAAAGAGAGAAAUAGAGAAAGAGAGACGAAAUGGAUGGAACCCAAGAAGCAGCAGCUACUGAUACGGUGAUGGGGGAGGCACCGUCUGGGGUUACAGCCGGGGAAGGGCCACAACCACCGUCAGCAUCCGAAGGUGGUGGUGGAAUGGAAAAUAUUCCAGCGACCCUAAGCCAUGGUGGGAAAUUUAUUCAAUAUAACAUAUUUGGGAAUAUCUUUGAGGUUACUGCUAAAUACAAACCUCCAAUCAUGCCCAUCGGCAAAGGCGCCUACGGAAUCGUUUGUUCGGCUUUGAAUUCUGAGACUAGUGAACAAGUUGCAAUUAAGAAGAUUGCUAAUGCUUUUGACAACAAGAUUGAUGCCAAAAGGACUCUACGUGAGAUUAAGCUUCUUCGCCAUAUGGAUCAUGAAAACGUAGUGGCAAUCAGAGAUAUAAUACCACCACCUGAUCGAGGGGCCUUUAAUGAUGUUUAUAUCGCAUAUGAGUUGAUGGACACUGAUCUUCAUCAGAUUAUUCGUUCAAACCAAGCCUUAUCCGAGGAGCAUUGUCAGUAUUUUUUGUAUCAGAUACUCCGUGGAUUGAAAUACAUACACUCCGCAAAUGUUCUGCAUAGGGAUCUGAAGCCUAGCAAUCUUCUCCUGAAUGCGAAUUGUGAUUUAAAGAUUUGUGACUUUGGACUCGCACGGAUCACUUCGGAAACUGAUUUUAUGACAGAGUAUGUUGUAACAAGAUGGUAUCGAGCACCAGAACUCUUAUUGAACUCAUCAGAAUAUACUGCUGCAAUUGAUGUGUGGUCUGUAGGCUGCAUUUUCAUGGAAUUGAUGGACCGUAAGCCUCUUUUUCCCGGUCGAGAUCAUGUGCACCAGCUACGUUUACUGUUGGAGAAAAUCUAUGAAUAUUUCAACAUCUCAAAAUCUAUGCUUUUGGCUGACUAUCUCUCCUCAUUAUUGCUGAGAGUAAAAGUGUUUCACAUGUACAGCUUAUCGGCACUCCAUCUGAAGCUGACUUGGGAUUCGUGAAUGAUAAUGCAAAGAGAUACAUCCGACAGCUUCCUCGUCACACUCGGCAGUCACUUACUGAGAAGUUUCCUCAUGUUCAUCCGUCUGCCAUUGAUCUUGUUGAAAAGAUGCUAACUUUUGAUCCUAGAGUUAGGAUUACAGUUGAGGAUGCAUUGGCUCAUCCAUAUCUAGCGACCUUGCACGACAUUAGUGAUGAGCCAGUGUGCAUGACUCCUUUCAAUUUUGAUUUUGAGCAACACGCAUUGUCAGAGGAACAGAUGAAGGAGCUCAUUUACAGGGAAGCUCUUGCUUUUAAUCCCGAGUAUCAGCCAUAGUAGUAAAAACGGAGUUUGUUGUUCAUCAUCAACCACCAGAUUUCAUAUUUCACCCAGGCGGGUAUUUUGGACAUCUGCCACCUACCUUCUUGAAGGCAGCCAAAAAAAAAAAAAAAAAAAAAAAAAAAAAAAAAAAAAAAAAAAAAAAAACUGAAAAGAAAAACAAUAACGGUAAAUUGGUCUCCAUGAUUUAACGGUUAUGUAAAUAUGUGCGUCCAAAACAUUGAUGUUCUCUUAAUUCCUUCUCUUUUGAAGAUUGUAAUGAUUUCUGUGAGGGUGAUCGAGGUUAAUAUUUUUCUUUAGGGAUUUGAUGUUGGAUGGACCAACAACGUAUGUUUACAUGGUUGUUGUAUGAGGUAGUGAGUUCUUUGGGUGAUUUUCGUAGCA